rnacentral:rRNA from 1 species
CAGUCGCCGCGGGAAUACGAAGGGGGCUAGCGUUGCUCGGAAUUACUGGGCGUAAAGGGAGCGUAGGCGGAUGUUUAAGUCAGAGGUGAAAGCCCAGGGCUCAACCUUGGAACUGCCUUUGAUACUGGACAUCUUGAGUGUGGGAGAGGUAAGCGGAACUCCGAGUGUAGAGGUGAAAUUCGUAGAUAUUCGCAAGAACACCAGUGGCGAAGGCGGCUUACUGGCUCGAAACUGACGCUGAGGCGCGAAAGCGUGGGGAGCAAACAGGAUUAGAUACCCCGGUAGUCCCUGUCUCUUAUAC